UGGGGAAUAUUGCACAAUGGGCGAAAGCCUGAUGCAGCGACGCCGCGUGAGGGCAUGACGGCCUUCGGGUUGUAAACCUCUUUCAGCAGGGAAGAAGCGAAAGUGACGGUACCUGCAGAAGAAGCGCCGGCUAACUACGUGCCAGCAGCCGCGGUAAUACGUAGGGCGCAAGCGUUGUCCGGAAUUAUUGGGCGUAAAGAGCUCGUAGGCGGUUAGUCGCGUCUGCUGUGAAAACUCGAGGCUCAACCUCGGGCUUGCAGUGGGUACGGGCUGACUAGAGUGCAGUAGGGGUGACUGGAAUUCCUGGUGUAGCGGUGGAAUGCGCAGAUAUCAGGAGGAACACCGAUGGCGAAGGCAGGUCACUGGGCCGCAACUGACGCUGAGGAGCGAAAGCAUGGGGAGCGAACAGGAUUAGAUACCCUGGUAGUCCAUGCCGUAAACGUUGGGCACUAGGUGUGGGGUCCA
rnacentral:rRNA from 1 species